UACGGGGGGUGCGAGCGUUGUCCGGAAUCACUGGGCGUAAAGGGCGCGUAGGUGGCUUUGUAAGUUUGCGGUGAAAGCCCGGGGCUCAACCCCGGGUCUGCCGUGGAUACUGCAAGGCUUGAGUACUGUAGAGGCAGGUAGAAUAUCGGGUGUAGCGGUGGAAUGCGUAGAGAUCCGAUAGAAGACCGGUGGCGAAGGCGGCCUGCUGGGCAGUAACUGACGCUGAGGAGCGAAAGCGUGGGGAGCGAACGGG
rnacentral:rRNA from 1 species